UUGGAGGGCAAGUCUGGUGCCAGCAGCCGCGGUAAUUCCAGCUCCAAUAGCGUAUAUUAAAGUUGUUGCAGUUAAAAAGCUCGUAGUUGAAUUUCGGGAUUAGUACGUUGGUCGUGCCUUCGGUACGUACUGGUGUUACUGAUUCCUACCUUCUGACGAACCAUCAUGUCAUUAAUUUGGUGUGGUGGGGAAUCAGGACUGUUACUCUGAAAAAAUUAGAGUGUUUAAAGCAGGCUCGCGCUUGAAUACAUUAGCAUGGAAUAAUGAAAUAGGACGUUGACCCUAUUUUGUUGGUUUCUAGGAUUGACGUAAUGAUUAAUAGGGAUAGUUGGGGGCAUUAGUAUUCAAUUGUCAGAGGUGAAAUUCUUGGAUUUAUUGAAGACUAACUACUGCGAAAGCAUUUGCCAAGGAUGUUUUCAUUAAUCAAGAACGAAAGUUAGGGGAUCGAAGACGAUCAGAUACCGUCGUAGUCUUAACCAUAAACUAUGCCGACUAGGGAUCGGAUGAUGUUAUUUUUAAUGACUCAUUCGGCGCCUUACGGGAAAC
rnacentral:rRNA from 1 species